rnacentral:rRNA from 1 species
CAAGGCGACGAUCGGUAGCCGGCCUGAGAGGGUGAUCGGCCACAUUGGGACUGAGAUACGGCCCAGACUCCUACGGGAGGCAGCAGUAGGGAAUAUUGCACAAUGGGGGAAACCCUGAUGCAGCAACGCCACGUGUGGGAAGAAGCAUUUCGGUGUGUAAACCACUGUCAUGAGGGAAUAAGGCCCGUCUUCGGACGGGAUUGAAUGUACCUUGAAAGGAAGCACCGGCAAACUUCGUGCCAGCAGCCGCGGUAAUACGAGGGGUGCAAGCGUUGUUCGGAAUUACUGGGCGUAAAGGGAGCGUAGGCGGAGAUUCAAGCGGAUUGUACAAUCCCGGGGCCCAACCCCGGCUCUGCAGUCCGAACUGGAUCUCUUG